CGUGUAGGCGGCCUGAUUAAGUCGAGUGUGAAAGCCCGAGGCUCAACCUUGGAAGUGCACUCGAUACUGUCGGGCUUGAGUACGGGAGAGGGAAGUGGAAUUCCUGGUGUAGAGGUGAAAUUCGUAGAUAUCAGGAGGAACACCGGUGGCGAAGGCGGCUUCCUGGACCGAUACUGACGCUGAGACGCGAAAGCGUGGGGAGCAAACA
rnacentral:rRNA from 1 species